GCGGAGAGCAUUUCGACUUGUCGCCUUCUGGGGUCCCUCCAAUGACCCCAGAAGUGAAAUCAAGUUGGAACAGAUCUUAUU
rnacentral:pre_miRNA from 1 species